CCCUUAGAUGUUCUGGGCCGCACGCGCGCUACACUGAUGCAUUCAACGAGUUUCUUCCUGGUCCGAGAGGAAUGGGUAACCUUUUGAAAGUGCAUCGUGAUAGGGAUAGACUAUUUCAAUUAUUGGUCUUCAACGAGGAAUUCCUAGUAGACGUAGUUCAUCAGACUGCAUCGAUUACGUCCCUGCCCUUUGUACACACCGCCCGUCGCUCCUACCGAUUGAAUGCUCAGGUGAGCCAUUCGGACUUUCAUCAUGCUGGUUUCCAGUUUUGAUGAAGGAAAGUCUUGCGAACCUUAUCAUUUAGAGGAAGGAGAAGUCGUAACA
rnacentral:rRNA from 1 species